GGUGAUUUAAAAGCUUCCUCGGUGAAGUUCGCGUGGCAAACGUACACGUAGAGCACCCAGUGAGCACGGGAAGAAGUGUGCACAUCAAGAUGCUUUUGGGGCCUCAUUGCAAGAUUACGCACCGUUGAUGUUCGAGCACAUGAAAAGUAUAGUCAAGAAGGAUGUCAUGGCAUGGGUGAUUGAGACAGAACGGGAGCUUUCAAAGGCCUACAAGAAUGCUAAGGAGGUUGCAUUUCUACCAUGGCUGACUGCGUACUUUGGGGACAAAGAACAGGGGCUCUUCAAGGUUUUAGAGCAUGGCACAAGUAUAACUGAAGUGCUUUCUGAGCUGCCACCUACACCCAUCAUUGCAGCCCUAGGCAGCUGUUUCAUAUCAAUCCCCCAAAGGUUACCAAGCGUGAAGGAGGACAGCGGUCGAGGACAUCUGUUACUGCAAAAGUAAAGAAGCUCAACCAUGUGCACCAAGCAAACGUCCUGUCAGAGCAGCUGAACUGUCCUAACCAGUGAACACACCUGCGGAAUUGUUACAGGUGCCGCAGGAAUGUGCAGGAAGUACAAAUGCUACAAUUAUUUAUUAUAUGGGCUUUUGAGAAGCACGAAUGCCACAACUGUUUGUAGGUUUUCAUAAGACUUUUUAUUACAUUCUUGAUCUGUAAUAAGACAUUGCAAUCAAUUAAAGUUUCUGUGAAUUCACAUUGC